rnacentral:rRNA from 1 species
UCAUGGCCCUUACGAGUAGGGCUACACACGUGCUACAAUGGCGCAUACAAAGAGAAGCGACCUCGCGAGAGCAAGCGGACCUCAUAAAGUGCGUCGUAGUCCGGAUUGGAGUCUGCAACUCGACUCCAUGAAGUCGGAAUCGCUAGUAAUCGUAGAUCAGAAUGCUACGGUGAAUACGUUCCCGGGCCUUGUACACACCGCCCGUCACACCAUGGGAGUGGGUUGCAAAAGAAGUAGGUAGCUUAACCUUCGGGAGGGCGCUUACCACUUUGUGAUUCAUGACUGGGGUGAAGUCGUAACAAGGUAACCGUAGGGGAACCUGCGGUUGGAUCACCUCCUUA